GACGAACGCUGGCGGCGUGCCUAAUACAUGCAAGUCGAGCGCAGGAAACUGACGGAACUCUUCGGAGGGAAGGCAGCGGAAUGAGCGGCGGACGGGUGAGUAACACGUAAGGAACCUGCCUCAAGGAUUGGGAUAACUCCGAGAAAUCGGAGCUAAUACCGGAUAGUUCAUCGGACCGCAUGGUCCGUUGAUGAAAGGCGCUCCGGCGUCACCUUGAGAUGGCCUUGCGGUGCAUUAGCUAGUUGGUGGGGUAACGGCCCACCAAGGCGACGAUGCAUAGCCGACCUGAGAGGGUGAUCGGCCACACUGGGACGGGGACACGGCCCAGACUCCUACGGGAGGCAGCAGUAGGGAAUCUUCCACAAUGGACGAAAGUCUGAUGGAGCAACGCCGCGUGAGUGAUGAAGGUUUUCGGAUCGUAAAACUCUGUUGUAAGGGAAGAACACGUACGAGAGGGAAUGCUCGUACCUUGACGGUACCUUACGAGAAAGCCACGGCUAACUACGUGCCAGCAGCCGCAGUAA
rnacentral:rRNA from 1 species